rnacentral:rRNA from 1 species
UACAGAGGGGGCAAGCGUUGUUCGGAAUUACUGGGCGUAAAGGGCGCGUAGGCGGCCUUCUAAGUCGAACGUGAAAUCCCCGGGCUCAACCCGGGAACUGCGUCCGAUACUGGAAGGCUUGAAUCCGGGAGAGGGAUGCGGAAUUCCAGGUGUAGCGGUGAAAUGCGUAGAGAUCCGGAGGAACACCAGCGGCGAAGGCGGCAUCCUGGACUGGUCCUGACACUCAGGAGCGAAAGCGUGGGGAGCGAUCCGG